CAAACAAAAAAAAACCAAAAAAAACCUCUGGACCUGGGAAUGAGACCAAACAUAUUUUCUUUGAACUUUCAAAAUGUGUUUUUCCAUACUGUUGGAUGCUUGGGCAAUAAAAGCUCAACGCCUCUGUCUUCUCAUUUGAAUUCUGAUGUUCUUCUGUCCUCCAUGCUUAGCCCUUCUUUGUUUUACAGCUGCCCUUCCUUGAAGAUUUGAAUCAAGUUAAAAACAAACAUGUCCAAGCUGACAAGCUUCGUUUCUCUAUUUGUUUCAGAGACCAGAGAGAUCCCAAAUCCUAUACUGCUUAGUGAUGGUCACAUGAAGCGUGUUCUCAUUUCAUAGGCACCAGAAGGAAAUGCCAGUGGACCAAUCGGUCUCAGGAUAGGUACUCACCUGAUAUUGGGGCGAAGGCUACAUGUCACUCUGAUUCCAGUGAUUGAUGCCAACAUCCCUCUUUUGUGGUCUCCUUUACCCAGAGGCAUUCCCCUCUGAUGGAUCAGAAGGUACCAAGGACCGAGAUAGUAGAACUCGAAAACAAGGAAGAGCAAGAAAAUUCCUAUUUAACCUCCCCCCCAUCUCCACUCUGAGUCCUGCUCUAUUAAGUGUCAGUUUCACAGGACUGAGGAUACAACUCGGCGGUCAAGUGUGCACACAAGACUCUUGGUUAAAUCCCUGUCAUUGUAAAACAACAACAACACUUGAUAUAGAACAAGAGAGCCCUCCAUACCACCUACAGAAGCAUUGACUAAAGGAAAUCUGCCUCCAGACACAGAAGCAGAAAACAGGUAGGUUAAAGGCCCCUCCCACCUUCCACCCCCUCCCCAUCACCACCACCUCAGGACCAGAGAGUAUCAAUUCUGUGUAUUGUGUAGCUAACAAGGUCACAGGCUGUUCAGCUGCCGGAGCAAACCUGAUUAAGACCGUGAUAAUCUUUUGAAAGACUGUAAUUCAUCUCCAUUCGAGGGACAUUACCUUAGCAUUUCAGCCAUCUCAGGGAGCAAGGUUAACAAAUAUUCAGUGAUGAAUUUUUGAAGGCCGUAGUCCAGUCUUGUUCUCUUUAGUCCCUUUAAAGGAAUGUCAAAAGGCAACUGAAUAAAAAUGGCUGAAUCUGUGCAGACUCACGCAAUAGCUGCUGUCUGAGGAAGCAGUUUAUGAUUCAGACAGUCCCCACCUUUGCUUACGUAAUUUCUGGUUUGCUUUAGAUUGAAGACAAGCUGUUCCAUUGCUCACACAGGAGAAUUUGCCACAGAUGCUUUAACUUACUCGAGAUAAGAAACCCUGAGACAGUAGAUCCUUGGAGAGGGGGCUUUACUUCUGCACUUCUGUGGUAUCCCGAUACUCUCAUGAAGGGCCUGCAUAAUUGAUCAUCUCCCUAAAUUCAUCUGAGGUUAAUGUGGAUCUUAAUAGCUACAAAUGGCUUUGAAACUUAUUUUUAAGAAAAGGGGGAUAAAAGGAAUUGAAAUAAUCAAACACCGUUUUGGAGCUAGGGGAUCUGCUUAUAAAUAGGUCACUCGCUGAGUUCCCCCAGGAAAUUGUUUGUUGUAUACUUCUGUGUAUGUGUG
rnacentral:sRNA from 1 species